CAGAGGUAACUAAGCAUUUGAUAAGCCCUAUACACUAUAAAAGUCAUUAAUUCAUUCAUGUAGCUAGAUAAUUCUAAAGCUUGGUUAUCUUAAUUUGUUCUACUCUAUGCUUCAGUACACUAGAACAAUGAUACUUAGGCAUGUGACUUAUGUAAAGUUGUGAAUUGGAUAUAACCAAACUUAGACAAAUUUGUUUAUCGUCUAUAGUCUGGGGACUUGUUUGAUGAACUUUGUUUUAAUUUUUCCUUGAAUCCCAUUUUUGACAAAAACAAUUUCAUUAUAUGAACACAUAAACUUAACAAACAAAUAGCAGUCUUAAUCUCAAUCACAUGCAGCAUAAUAUGCAAUAGCCCCAGCGACUAACGCUCAAUAGAGCGUCUUGUUUACGUAUUAAAGUUUAGGUUCAUUCUUUCUGAGUUCCGUCACCAAAUAUCAUUUGAUACACGAACUUUUUGCCGCUGUCUAUUUAUCAUGUAAUGAUUUAUUAUUUUUUGCUUUGUUUUUAACUUCCAUCAUAUAAAUCAUUAAAAAUCCAAAUUUAAUUACGCAAGUUAAGAAAUUCUUUGUAGAAUGUAGGAUUGCAUGGCGAUAAAACAUAUGAUACUUUUUGUUCGUGGAAACACCACGUAAAUUUAUUACCGACUGCAAAUGGUACCAAUAAAUGAGAACUGGAAUUCAGAUGCUAUAUUUGUUAGUGAACUAGUGAAAAGUUCAUAAUAUUCAGCUUCGUCUGCGCGAACUCGUUUCGACCAUAGAUAUCUUAUAUACGCUACUCACUCACUAGAUAGUGCAUCUAAUUAUUCUGCAAUUCAAAAAUUGAGGCCGUGAUUGCAGUCUCAGGUCGUUCCCAUGAAAUACGAAGAUUCGUAUGUUUUCUAUUUCUCAAACAGGGAACUUAAACAUUAAGUUAACGCUAUUCUAAAUACGUUUUUAAGCUAUUCAAAUGAUGAAAGUUAUUGUUGUUUUUAAGCGUUUAUUAGCAAGUGGGAACGACCAACAUGGCCGCCAUCUAUUCAAAUGGGGGUAACCGCUGGAAUAUUCUUGGCUUCAAUUUUACUAAAAGA